GGGCCUGUGGCGCAACGGUAGCGCGUUGUAAGAACCCUGCUGUUUUCGCUUGUAAAUGGAUAUUAAUCUUCCACAGCGACUCCAGAUCGAAAGGUUGCCAGUUCAAAUCUGACCGGGCUCA
rnacentral:tRNA from 1 species